rnacentral:rRNA from 1 species
GACGAACGCUGGCGGCGUGCUUAACACAUGCAAGUCGAGCGGUAAGGCCCUUUCGGGGGUACACGAGCGGCGAACGGGUGAGUAACACGUGGGUGACCUGCCCUCAGCUCUGGGAUAAGCCUGGGAAACCGGGUCUAAUACUGGAUAUGACUCCAUGACGCAUGUUGUGGGGUGGAAAGCCUUGUGCGGCUGAGGAUGGGCCCGCGGCCUAUCAGCUUGUUGGUGGGGUGANGGCCUACCAAGGCGACGACGGGUAGCCGGCCUGAGAGGGCGACCGGCCACACUGGGACUGGAGACACGGCCCAGACUCCUACGGGAGGCAGCAGUGGGGAAUCUUGCGCAAUGGGCGAAAGCCUGACGCAGCGACGCCGCGUGAGGGAUGACGG